AGCCCGCUCUUUUAUUAUAUUUAAAUCCAGUAAUAUAAUAAUUAUUAUUUCAUCUUUCAGUAAAUCAAGCCCAGUAAUUAUUUAUGAUUUAAAUUCAGCUUAUGACACUGGAUUAUUUUCUAAUUGAAGCAAGGUUAUUAUUUUAUUUCUACGCCAGUUAGCUUCGCGUGAGUAAAACCACGAUGAGAAUUAUUGAGUAAGCCAAUAAUGAUUCAGUUCAGAUUCAUAACUGACUUAGUUAAGUCAUGUUAUUUAUUAAUCACAAUAGAAUUAUUUUUCUAUUUUUAUUUCUCGAGUCGUGAAUUUAUUCCGGCUUGUGAAGAAUUAAAUCUACGUUAUUAAUUUAGAUAUUAUUCCGUGUAUUAAAUCUAGCACGCCAUGCUCCCUCAGCCACUCUAUUCUCACCCGUGCUUAGCUUUUCUUUUUCCACUCCUACAUAGUCAAAAAGAAUUCAGCAAACAAAUCUCAAGAAUGUCGACAGCAAAUCUCAUCUUUAAUUCUUCAACCACGCUCUACAAUUUAGCCGUACUAUUCAUCAUCUUUUCACACUAAUCAGCUCUCCAUAAGUUCAGUAUAAAGCCAUCCUCAUUCACCUUCUUCAUCACAGCAGCAAAUCUACUCCUUCCAUCGAGGAAUCACCAAGCAUCAUUCAAGGUUGAGCUGUGAUGAACGAUGAAGUGUUGCUGAGUGGAGCUUUUGUCGAACUUAGAAUAGGCUCAGAAAGGAUAUGUGUCUGCAUACAUGUAUCUCAGUCUUGCCUUCCGCUGCAAACACUGAUUAUGUUUUAGUCAAGUCUAUAAUUAUGUCAAUUACUCUUCAAGAAAUAUUUAACGCUUACUCGGGUUCAUCGAGUAUCCUUUUUAACUAUA